rnacentral:tRNA from 1 species
GGCCCAUUGGUCAAGUGGCCUAAGACUCCGCCCUCUCACGGCGGCAACAGGGGUUCGAAUCCCCUAUGGGUCA